CGCCAGACUCCUACGGGAGGCAGCAGUGGGGAAUAUUGCACAAUGGGGGAAACCCUGAUGCAGCAACGCCGCGUGAGUGAAGAAGUCAUUCGUGAUGUAAAGCUCUAUCAGCAGGGAAGAAAAUGACGGUACCUGACUAAGAAGCCCCGGCUAACUACGUGCCAGCAGCCGCGGUAAUACGUAGGGGGCAAGCGUUAUCCGGAUUUAUUGGGUUUAAAGGGUGCGUAGGCGGGCUGUUAAGUCAGCGGUAAAGGCCCGGGGCUCACCCCCGGCGAGCCGUUGAAACUGGCUGUCUUGAGAUGUCGAGAGGUAUGCGGAAUGCGCAGUGUAGCGGUGAAAUGCUUAGAUAUUGCGCAGAACUCCGAUUGCGAAGGCAGCAUACCGGCGGCGAUCUGACGCUGAGGCACGAAAGCGUGGGUAUCGAACAGGAUUAGAUACCCGUGUAGC
rnacentral:rRNA from 1 species